AUCUCAGUAGCUCAGCGGUAGAGCGGUCGGCUGUGAACUGGAAAAAAAAGGUUCGAUUCCUGCUUGAGAUU
rnacentral:tRNA from 1 species